rnacentral:rRNA from 1 species
CCUACGGGCGGCAGCAGUGGGGAAUAUUGCACAAUGGGGGAAACCCUGAUGCAGCGACGCCGCGUGAGUGAAGAAGUAUUUCGUUAUGUAAAGCUCUAUCAGCAGGGAAGAAAUAAAGUCCAUCGGACUUUGGACGGUACCUGACUAAGAAGCCCCGGCUAACUACGUGCCAGCAGCCGAGGUAAUACGUAGGGGGCAAGCGUUAUCCGGAUGUACUGGGUGUAAAGGGAGAGUAGACGGCCGCGCAAGUCUGGAGUGAAAUCCCAUGGCGUAACCAUGGAACUGCUUUGGAAACUGUGAAGCUGGAGUGCAGGAGAGGUAAGCGGAAUUACUAGUGUAGCGGUGAAAUGCGUAGAUAGUAGGAGGAACACCAGUGGCGAAGGCGGCUUACUGGACUGUAACUGACGGUGAGGCUCGAAAGCGUGGGGAGCAAACAGGAUUAGAUACCCUUGUAGUC